UCAUGUUGAAACACUGAUUCCAGUACAAUCACCAAAGUUAAGCAAUGUCAAGCCUGGUCAGUACCUAGAUGAGUUACCAUUUGGGAAUACCAGGUGUUGUAAG